rnacentral:misc_RNA from 1 species
UACGAAGGGGGCUAGCGUUGUUCGGAAUUACUGGGCGUAAAGCGCACGUAGGCGGAUACUUAAGUUAGGGGUGAAAUCCCAGGGCUCAACCCUGGAACUGCCUUUAAUACUGGGUAUCUUGAGUUCGAGAGAGGUGAGUGGAAUUGCGAGUGUAGAGGUGAAAUUCGUAGAUAUUCGCAGGAACACCAGUGGCGAAGGCGGCUCACUGGCUCGAUACUGACGCUGAGGUGCGAAAGCGUGGGGAGCAAACAGG